CUACGGGGGGCAGCAGUGGGGAAUAUUGCGCAAUGGGCGAAAGCCUGACGCAGCAAUGCCGCGUGAAUGAUGAAGGCCUUAGGGUUGUAAAGUUCUUUAAGCAGGGAAGAUAAUGACGGUACCUGCAGAAUAAGUCCCGGCUAAUUCCGUGCCAGCAGCCGCGGUAAUACGGAAGGGGCGAACGUUGUUCGGAUUUACUGGGCGUAAAGAGUUCGUAGGUGGUUUGGUAAGUCAGAUGUGAAAGCCCAGGGCUCAACCUUGGAAUUGCAUUUGAAACUGCCUGACUAGAGUCUUGGAGAGGGUAGUGGAAUUACCAGUGUAGAGGUGAAAUUCGUAGAUAUUGGUAGGAACACCAGUGGCGAAGGCGACUGCCUGGACAAGUACUGACACUGAGGAACGAAAGCGUGGGGAGCAAACAGGAUUAGAUACCCCAGUAGUC
rnacentral:rRNA from 1 species